rnacentral:rRNA from 1 species
AUUGAACGCUGGCGGCAGGCCUAACACAUGCAAGUCGAACGGUAACAGGAAGAAGCUUGCUUCUUUGCUGACGAGUGGCGGACGGGUAAGUAAUGUCUGGGAAACUGCCUGAUGGAGGGGGAUAACUACUGGAAACGGUAGCUAAUACCGCAUAACGUCGCAAGACCAAAGAGGGGGACCUUCGGGCCUCUUGCCAUCGGAUGUGCCCAGAUGGGAUUAGCUAGUAGGUGGGGUAACGGCUCACCUAGGCGACGAUCCCUAGCUGGUCUGAGAGGAUGACCAGCCACACUGGAACUGAGACACGGUCCAGACUCCUACGGGAGGCAGCAGUGGGGAAUAUUGCACAAUGGGCGCAAGCCUGAUGCAGCCAUGCCGCGUGUAUGAAGAAGGCCUUCGGGUUGUAAAGUACUUUCAGCGGGGAGGAAGGGAGUAAAGUUAAUACCUUUGCUCAUUGACGUUACCCGCAGAAGAAGCACCGGCUAACUCCGUG